GGGAAUCAGCUGCUGUAAAUGCCAGUCAACAGUGUAAUCUUUCUAAUGCAGUCAUUGUUCUCUUUAUCUCUGCAACACCUGUGCAACUCCUCUUUUUAUACCCUUCUGAAAAACCCUUAAACGGUUACUCUAACCACCAUGACUACUUCGUUGGUUUGAAGUGGUUAUGGUGGUAGAAGUCAGUAUGUGCAGUAUUUCUGCUUAGAACACUGCACAUAUUGAGAUAUUUGCCCUUG